rnacentral:rRNA from 1 species
GACAGAGGCCUCGAGCGUUAGGCGGAAUCACUGGGCUUAAAGCGUGUGUAGGCGGACCCCUAAGUGUCUUGUGAAAUCCCACGGCUCACCCGUGGAACCGCUGGGCAUACUGGGGGUCUUGGGCCAUUCAGGGGCGACUGGAACAAGCGGUGGGGCGGUGAAAUGCGUAGAUAUCGCUUGGAACGCCGACGGUGAAAACAGGUCGCUGGGAAUGUGCCGACGCUGAGACACGAAAGCCAGGGGAGCAAACGGG